CAGCUUGGAGGUUGGCUACCACAGAUCCACACAUACCUCCAAACCACCAAAAUAUGCAGUACGUGUGGGAGGGUGGAGAUAGAGGGUAUAGAAAUGUUCCUUGGGCUGGAAGAGACCUCAUUUCAGGAAAUAAGUGAGUUACGCCAAUUACUAAGUGAGCAAUUGGGGAACAUGAUCUAACUCCUUUGAACAUCAGUCUUCUCUGUUUUACAAUGAGGUCAUAAGAUUGUAGCAGACCCACUACCGUUCACCACUGCCUAUGUGCUUUCUUACAUUCCCAUCCUCCUGACUACGAGGUGGAACCAUGUCACUAGCUCCUGCCAGUGGGUUUUGACGGAGAGUGAUAUGUGUCACUUCCAGGCUGAGGCCUUAUAACCAUGCCUGAGUCUCCUGUGACUUUUCCCCACCUCAACAACUGCUAACUCCAGACAGCAGAACUGUAACAUGGCGGUGUUUUCCCUUGACCCUGACUGGUAACAACCACAAGGAGAGACCAUCUUGGAAAGCCAACCUGGCACCAUAGUAAAUUUGGUCUGAGUGAAAAACAAACCUUUAUAUUAUCUGGCCACUGCGAUUUUGGAUCUGUUUGAUACCAUACAUAUCUAAUUCGCAUACCUAAAAUAAUGAAAUUAAUUUUGAGAAUUAAAUGAGAAAAUACAUAAACUCCUAACACAGUAUCCAACACAUGAUAGGCAUUUUACCAUGUCAAUUCCAAAAAAAAAAAAAAAGAAGUAAUAUUUACCUCACAAGAUUAAAAGAAAUAAAAUAACUGAAAAAUACCUGAAAAAUUUUACCACAAAUGAGGUAAUGUAAUAAUAGUUUAAAAUAUAAUAACUUAUACUACACUAUAUAAUAUAGUAAUAAUACAAUAAGUUUAUAAUAUAAUAAAAAUACCUGAAAAUGUUUACCACAAAUGAGGUAAUAAACUUUAGGGAGGUUUUUUUUUUUUCCUUCUUUCUUCUCACUUGUGAUCAGAGAUGAUUCACAAGGUCUUUUUGCUCUACAUUCAAAGCUUCAGAGUUCCUGGAAAGCUAACAUACCACGCUUAUUUGAUAGUUGCAGCAAAAUAUCAUGUUUUCUAUUAGAACAAAAAACGCAUGAGAGAAAUGAUCAUAGUUUCAAAGAUUUUACCAAUGUUGACAAUAAUGCAAAGGCUUCAUUUCAGAAUGGCUCUAAAUUAGUCAUUAUUUCCUUCCAUAUAAAGAAAACGUCAUUCACUCUCUUUCUAAUGUUGGUAAGUGCCACCCUUCAGGGCUUUUGUCCCAGGAGAACUACGUAGAAAGUGACUUGACCUAUGGCACUUCUAAACUCCAUAACAUAAAAAGGUGAAGCAUAAUUGGAUCCUCAGGACCUAAAUGAAUAUAAGACAAUAAUGAGAGUUGUUUUCUUUAAGAGAAUCCAGCCAUUUGUAUGCCAACAGUCAUUACACCAUUUCACAGGAUUUGUUGAGGAGAAAUUUCACCGAGAAUGUAUUGUGAGCUCUCAGGCAACACACUAGUACAACUCAUCUGCUUCCUCACUGUAACACCAGUCACACGUAUCUUUGCGAUAUAAGCCAUGGAUGGUGAGCCCAUCUGUCAUGUGCCCAGACCACACAGCCUACCAAUGGAGCAUUGGUGUCAGUGGGGUGUGGCUUCUCAGCCACAUGGAGGCUCAGGACGCUUCGGUGUUCUUCUGUCACGGUGCUUCACGGAAAGCUGCAGGCCAUAGCCAACAUGCCCACUGCAGCACAGAGACAGACUCUCCUCAGCUCAAGUGAAAAGAUAAAUUGCCCAGUCCCUUCUGCUUUCCCCUGUGGUAGCCCAAGAUCAAGGGAAAUGAGAGGUGACUGUUGAGAAUGCAGGUGCAGCAUCUCAAACUCUCGGUGAUCUGACAGACCAGCGUUGCUCUUUUCUGUGUGUUCCUUGUGCUGUGAAUUCAGUGUGCAAGUGGUGCUGAGUCAUGGUGACAGCAUCUUACUGCAGACAUCAUCAAAUGGGAUGUUACAAGGUCAUGCUCUCGCCCUACUCCGUGGCCAUGUGGCUCUUUACCUGUUCAAGGUUAAGCGUUCCCGCCUGAGGGCCUGGGUGUUUGAGGCCCUAUUCAACACCUUCUCCACUGGUGUGCUUACCUUAAUCACCAAUGUCAAAUGAAACUUACAAUCAAAAAGCAUUAGGAGGCAUCUCAGUGAAAAAACUUGUACAGAAAAAUGAGUAUAAGAAUGCAUGUGUAAUGGUAUUUAAAUAGUGCAUUGUCUGUGUAUAAAGUAAUACACUUCUUGGAACAUGAAAGGCUUUCUAUUAGCAUCACUGUUUGUUGCUUCUUUGUCUCAGGUUUUACGAUUUAAGCAUUGAACCAUGAACUCAAAGUCCACAAUUUGGUCUGUCUCAAACUUCCCUAGCACUGAAUUCUUUUCAUUGCAAAAUGGAAAGAACAAUUGUAUUGGCCCAUCAAAAAAUUAAAAGGACUGUAGACAAUCACAUUUUAAGGUAAAUGGUAAUAAUUACAAAGCAUGAAACAUUAUUAAACACAAAGAUUAAUUUUAAUGAAAUCAUUAUAUUAUCAGACACCUGGAUUAUUCUAUUUAACAUCAAAUGGGGUGAAGAAUGAAUUUCCCAUCAUGCAUCCUAGGUUAUUCCUGUAAUACUCAAUAGAUUUAUCAAAAUAAUAAUAAAGUACUGAUAUACAAAUAUGCCCUAUCUUAGGCAUUUUGUGUUUCUUGUUUAAAUUUAACAAGAAUUUACUGGGCAUUGUUUAAUGUGUUGUGGGGAAACAAACAAAAGUGUUAGGAAAGGGUUCCUAUCUCUAAUGAUGUUAAGGGCUUGGAGAAAUAAUACACACACACACACACACACACACACACACACACACACACCUUAUCUCUACCUUUUGUCCUCAAAACUUCUAUCCCUAUGCCCCCCCCCAAAAAAAUAACCAAAAAAAUUGUUCAAAUCCUAAUAAUUCUUAGAAAUGUUUCCUACCCAAAAUCCCUCAACUCUUACUACAACUGCUCUAUUCCUAUGUCUUCAUAUCAUUGCCUGUAAACUAUUGCAACAACUGGCCACCUGUCUUUCUAUAUUCCAGGUAUGUUCCUGAAACAUAAGCAAUUAGGUCUUGCUGACUUAAAACAGCGUAAUUCCCCAUUGACUACACAAUAAAAUCAUCAAAACUUAGAACCUGAUAUAAAAUGUCUCUGUGGGCUCAUCUUACCUGUCUUUAAACCUACUAUUAACUCCACAUUCUAUGCUGUUUCUAGAACGCUCCCUCCUCCUCCCCAUCUUCUGACUAUUAACCAGUUACACCAGGUUCUUUCAUAGCCUGGGUUGUUGGGUUAUUUUUUUAACUCUAUCUCUCUCUCUCUCUCUCUUUCUCCCCUCCCCACUCCCCCCAAAUGGCUUUAAUUAUCUUCUUGUCCAGCAAACUUUUAUUCAUCCUUGAAAACCAAGUUUAGACAUCACAUAUUUAGUGAAGCCUCCAUCAAGCUACUUUUUGUGGAUCUGGAAAGAAUUCAUGCCAUUUGUUAUAACAGUUGCCACAUGUUAUUAUAAUGUCAAUUUCACCUCUCUCUUUCUAGAGCUAUACUAUGAGUUCCACGUGGACAAUAAUUCUGUCUUACUUAUUUUUAUAUCCCCAGCACUAAGCACAGUUCUUGGCAUAGGAAAGAUGCUUAGUCAUGUUAAAUGAAUGAAUAAAUAAAUGAAUAUCAAAGUAAGGACUUCAAAGGUUUACAGAAAGGUAAAAAAAUAAAAGUUUAAAAAGUUUAAACAUUAAAAAUAAAUAAAUGCUUACAGAAGUGAGAAUUCAGUAUGUUCUGCAGUGUUCAGGAAUUGCUACAUUAAAAUAGAUGUAAAUAAAAUGUUUGUCCAUAGCAUGUUUUAAAUGCACUAAUAAAUUAUUCAGAGCAUGAAUAAUCAUACUUUAACCCUUUUUAACUUCAGACUUUCUCAAAAUAGGUUAUACUUCUGCUACGAUACAUGCUCUGUAAUGUGCUAGACGUAUAUGAUCAGAAGAGUGUUAGGUUUCGGAUUCACUUAAAUCCUUGAGAUUAGAGAAGUAAGAAGAUGUUCUACCUGCACCAUCAUUGCCUAAUUUUAUUUAUUAUUAUUAAACUGUAAUAAUUAUAUUUAUAGUAUUUCAACAAAUUAAGCCAUUUUAAUGCUAUACUUUACCCUUUUCACUUAUGUAAACAGUAUUUCUAUUUCAUUCAGAAAUACUCCCAUUUUACUUUAAAAAGCUACCAAACAUCUAACCCAAAGUAUUCUUACAGCAUGUAGGUAGCAUUGCCAGAUUUAAAAAGGAAAACAAAAAUAAGAAAACUACAGAAUGCCCAGUUAAGUUUGAAUUUCAGAUAAAUAAUGAAUACUCCUUUUACCACAAAUAUAUCCCAUGAAAAAUUUAAGACAUACUUAUACUAAAAAUAAAAUUAGUUAUUUAUCUGCAAGUAAAACUUAAGUGGAUGCCCUUUAUUUUAUCUGACAACUCUACAUGUAACAUACAAGAAGACUAGCAAUAAAUAGAUGCUGGGAGGGUCUUAGUUGACCAAAGAGUGCUACCUGUAAGGCUAGCUUUCCUGGUAUCCCCAGGAAAACCUAAGGACCUCAACCAUCACCUAUGCUCUGUGACCUUAAAGAAACCCAUCCCUACCAUGAGCCUCUCAUGGGGCUCUCAUGAGGGCUCUCAAUAAAAAAUUCAGUUUGGUGGAGGCAUAAUCCAAGAUCAUGUCUGAGGGUAGUUUUUUUUAUAAAGAAGUGCAAAGGUGAUGUUCUCAACAGAACUAGUCUCAGGAUUUUUUCUAUUAUUGUCUUAAAAGAUCAUAUUUUACAACCAUUGUAAUCUACCCAGUAAUAGUGAUUACAUACAAAAAGCCAACAGGUAUAUGAAAAGGUACCCAGCAUCACUAACCAAGGAAAUGCAAAUGAAACCACAACGAGGGGUGUCUGGGUGGCUCAGUUAGUUGAGCAUCCGACUUUGGCUUAGGUCAUGAUCUCAGGGUCAGUCUCGCUGCUGUCAGCGUGAGGGCCCGCUUCAGUUCCUCUGUCCUCGUCUCUCUCUGCCCCUCCUCUGCUCUCUCUCAAAAAUAAAUAAACAUCAAAAAGAAAAGAAAGGAAACCACAAUGAAAUAUCACCUCACACCUGUUAGGAUGGCUAUUAAUAAAAAACAAAAGCUAACAACUGUUGAUGAGGAUAUGAAGAAAGGGGAACCCUGGAAAUAAUGUUGGUGGGAAUAUAAAUUAAUGUGAGCAUUAUGGAAAACAGUGUGGAGGUUCCUCAGAAAAUUAAAAAUAGAACUGCCAUAUGAUCCAGCAAUCUCAUUUCUGGGUAUUUGUCCAAAGGAACUGAAAUCAAGAUUUCAAAGAGAAAUCUGAGUUCCCAUGGAUAUGGCAGUAUUAUUAUUCACAAUAACCAAGAUAUGAAAACAACCUAAAUAUCCAUUAGUGGAUGAAUGGAUAAAGAAAAUGUGGUCUGUACAUACACAAUGGAGUAUCAUCCAGCCUUAGAAAAGAAGGAAAUUCUGCCAUUUGUGACAAUAUGGAUAGACCUGGAGGCCAUUAGCUAAAUAAAGUAAACCAGACACAGAAAGGCAAACGCUGUACAAUCUCAUUUAUAUACGGAAUCUUAAAAAGUCAUAAUCAUAGAAGCAGAGAAUAGAAUGGUGAUUUCCAGGGGCUGGGGAGAGGGGGAAAUGGGGAGGUGAUGGUCAAAGGGUACAAAGUUUCACUUAUGCAAAAUAAGUAAUUUCUGGGGAUCAACUGCAUAGCACAGUGCCUACAGCUAACAAUGCUCAAUUGUAUACUUAAAUUUUUCUAAGAGGACAGGUUUUAGGUUAAGUAUUCUUACUGCUACUACUACUAAUAAUAAUGGGGGCAAAAGGAAACUUUAGGAGGUGAUAGAUAUGUCUCUGGCCUCAGUGAUGGUGAUAACAAGUGUGUUAUUUAUCCCCAGAUUCAUCCAGUUGUGUAUAAUAUGUACAGCCUUUUACAUUUCAAUCACGCCUCAAUAAAGUGGUACAAAAAUUAUUGAAGUUAACAAGCACUUCCUAUAACCAAGGGGAGACUCACUACUUUGAGGCUUUUUCUAUGCAUUAUUACUAUUAAUCCUCACAACAUCCCUAUAAGACAUGCGCCAGUACCUCUACUUUAUAGAGAGACUGAGGCUGAGGUGAAAUAAUAAUCUGCUAUAGGCCGGAUAGUGAGGAGGGAUGGAAAUGAGACUGAAAUCCAGGUUUGUCUGGCUCUACAACCACUUGAAUAUUUGAUAAUGAUAUCAUAUACUGACCUUUAGUGCCCCGAUUCCACUAAAAACUAAAGGAAAUGCAAAAGUGUUUAAAUAAGUUGACACAGAGGUAAAUGGUCUCCAUAUAGGCAAGCUUCUAAGCAAGAAUAUACGUGUGUGUGUGUGUGUGUGUGUGUGUGUGUGUGUGUGGUCAAAUACAGCUUUCUCUAAAAAUUCUUCUCUAAAGGUGUUUUACAAAGCCGACUAUCACUAUUCCCCUAAGUUCUUUCAUUAUGUUUGAAGUUUCCUGAAUGGCACAUUACUGUCCUAAGAAGCGAGCACACUUCCAAAAGGGCCUACCCAACUUUUCGCUAGAAACGUUGUACAACAGUAAGGCACAGGCAGAUAAAUACAAAAACAAUCUGCUCAGGUACCAGAAAAUGAAAUGAACAUAAUACCCUAAGAGCAGAAUGUUCAUCUGAGUCACACCAAGUAAACUGAUUACUGCUAAAGUAAAAUUUGAAAAUGAUUGAAGUGAUUUUUACGAUCAGCCUUUUGGAAGUCAUUCAAUAGUGUUGCAAAACUACUUCAAAGUAGAUAAUUCAAAUUUAAAUGCCACUCUCUCCUUGGUGUUACCAACAGUUAAGCAUUAAAUUGGUGAGCUUGA
rnacentral:lncRNA from 1 species